UACGGGGGGGGCAAGCGUUGUUCGGAAUUACUGGGCGUAAAGGGCUCGUAGGUGGCCAACUAAGUCAGACGUGAAAUCCCUCGGCUUAACCGGGGAACUGCGUCUGAUACUGGACGGCUUGAGUUUGGGAGAGGGACGCGGAAUUCCAGGUGUAGCGGUGAAAUGCGCAGAUAUCAGGAGGAACACCGGUGGCGAAGGCGGUUCUCUGGGCCUUACCUGACGCUGAGGAGCGAAAGCAUGGGGAGCAAACAGG
rnacentral:rRNA from 1 species